GGUUCGAUGGUGUAGUUGGUUAUCACGUCUGUCUCACAUACCGAUGUUGGUCACGUGCACAGGAGGUCUCCGGUUCGAACCCGGGUCGAACCA